CCUGCAGUGAGACGAGCCAAAGGCACCAAGCUGGAUGUCCUAGCUGCUGCCUCUCCCUUUACACCACGGUGAAAGCUCUGCCUAUAUGUUUUUAGCUGUGACUUACAUUUGCAGCAGCCUAGCCCUGAUCUCCGUGGCCAUCUUCCUGCUCUACAAUACAGGCCUGUGUUCUCAGCCUUCAACUAUUUCUAUAUUCUGACAGAGAUGUCUCAUCUUGGGAGAAAGGCUUCCAGUAUCCCUCCUAGAUGCCAGAGAUUGGAGCAUCCAGAAGCUGUGCCCUCCCCCUUCCUGAGCCUUCAAGGGUGAAGCUAAAGUAAGCAGAGCCAACAGUGGCUGAGGGAAGAGCUUCUAGAAUCAGGAGUAGCACCUUCCUGGCCAUCUACAACCCAGAGUCAGGUGAGUGAGGGAAGGAGGGGGAUUCAUUAUCUGAGGCCAAUUUCCUUACCUCUCCUUUGAAUCUUGGCUUUCAAGUGAGAAAAGAGGCUGUACCAGGAUUUGAGGACAAUUAUGGUUUCCCUGUAGUCAAUAAGGUCAGUUGGUCCCUCAAAAUGUGUCUACACAUACAGUGUGGAAUGAGGCUUUUCCUUUGGGCUUGGAAGUACAUGGCGACC
rnacentral:lncRNA from 1 species